rnacentral:rRNA from 1 species
GACGAACGCUGGCGGCGUGCUUAACACAUGCAAGUCGAACGGAAAGGCCCUGCUUUUGUGGGGUGCUCGAGUGGCGAACGGGUGAGUAACACGUGAGUAACCUGCCCUUGACUUUGGGAUAACUUCAGGAAACUGGGGCUAAUACCGGAUAGGAGCUCCUGCUGCAUGGUGGGGGUUGGAAAGUUUCGGCGGUUGGGGAUGGACUCGCGGCUUAUCAGCUUGUUGGUGGGGUAGUGGCUUACCAAGGCUUUGACGGGUAGCCGGCCUGAGAGGGUGACCGGCCACAUUGGGACUGAGAUACGGCCCAGACUCCUACGGGAGGCUGCAGUGGGGAAUAUUGCACAAUGGGCGGAAGCCUGAUGCAGCGACGCCGCGUGCGGGAUGACGGCCUUCGGGUUGUAAACCGCUUUCGCCUGUGACGAAGCGUGAGUGACGGUAAUGGGUAAAGAAGCACCGGCUAACUACGUGCCAGCAGCCGCGGUGAUACGUAGGGUGUGAGCGUUGUCCGGAUUUAUUGGGCGUAAAGGGCUCGUAGGUGGUUGAUCGCGUCGGAAGUGUAAUCUUGGGGCUUAACCCUGAGCGUGCUUUCGAUACGGGUUGACUUGAGGAAGGUAGGGGAGAAUGGAAUUCCUGGUGGAGCGGUGGAAUGCGCAGAUAUCAGGAGGAACACCAGUGGCGAAGGCGGUUCUCUGGGCCUUUCCUGACGCUGAGGAGCGAAAGCGUGGGGAGCGAACAGGCUUAGAUACCCUGGUAGUCCACGCUGUAAACGGUGGGUACUAGGUGUGGGGUCCAUUCCACGGGUUCCGUGCCGUAGCUAACGCUUUAAGUACCCCGCCUGGGGAGUACGGCCGCAAGGCUAAAACUCAAAGGAAUUGACGGGGCCCCGCACAAGCGGCGGAGCAUGCGGAUUAAUUCGAUGCAACGCGUAGAACCUUACCUGGGUUUGACAUGGAUCGGGAGUGCUCAGAGAUGGGUGUGCCUCUUUUGGGGUCGGUUCACAGGUGGUGCAUGGCUGUCGUCAGCUCGUGUCGUGAGAUGUUGGGUUAAGUCCCGCAACGAGCGCAACCCUUGUUCACUGUUGCCAGCACGUUAUGGUGGGGACUCAGUGGAGACCGCCGGGGUCAACUCGGAGGAAGGUGGGGAUGACGUCAAGUCAUCAUGCCCCUUAUGUCCAGGGCUUCACGCAUGCUACAAUGGCUGGUACAGAGAGUGGCGAGCCUGUGAGGGUGAGCGAAUCUCGGAAAGCCGGUCUCAGUUCGGAUUGGGGUCUGCAACUCGACCUCAUGAAGUCGGAGUCGCUAGUAAUCGCAGAUCAGCAACGCUGCGGUGAAUACGUUCCCGGGGCU